GCCCCUGUGAGGAUGCCCUUACACCCCACUACCGGAGAAGAGGAGCCGACAUCAGGCACAACCCAGUGUUAGCCCACGACGUCUUGCUCAGCCACACCCCCAAGGGAAUGCAGCAGUAAUAAACAUUAAGCCAUGAGUGCAAGCUUGACUUAAUUAUAAUCAAUUAGGGCCGGUCAAAUUCGUGCCAGCCACCGCGGUUAUACGGAAGGCCCAAGUUGACAAAACACGGCGUAAAGGGUGGUUAGUAGUUAUUUUAAUAAAGUCGAACGUUUUCAGAGCUGUAAAAAGCUUAUGUAAACAGGAAGCCCAUCUACGAAAGUGACUUUAUUACCUACGAACCCACGAAAGCUAGGGCACAAACUGAGAUUAGAUACCCCACUAUGCCUAGCCUUAAACACAGAUGAUUGUCUUACUAUCAUUUUUCGCCAGGGAACUACGAGCGAUAGCUUGAAACCCAAAGGACUUGGCGGUGCUUUAGACCCCCCUAGAGGAGCCUGUUCUAGAACCGACUCUACCCGUUCAACCUCACCCCCUCUUGUUCCUUCCCGCCUAUAUACCGCCGUCGUCAGCUUACCCUAUGAAGGGUUAAUAGUAAGCACAAUUGGCAAAGCCUAAAAAGUCAGGUCGAGGUGUAGCUUACUGAGGGGGGACAGAAAUGGGCUACAUUUUCUGACCCAGAAAAUACGGACGUUGCACUGAAAAAGCAUCUGAAGGAGGAUUUAGUAGUAAGGGGGGAAUAGAGUGCCCCCCUGAAACCGGCACUGAAGCGCGUACACACCGCCCGUCACUCUCGCCAAAAACAGCGCCCGUAUACCUAAUUAAUAUAGCACAGGAUAGAGAUGAGAGAAGUCGUAACAUGGUAAGUGUACCGGAAGGUGCACUUGGACAAAC
rnacentral:ncRNA from 1 species